GAGUCCUGGGACACGAGUAUAAUUCCAUGUUUGGGGGACUGUGGGACUUGGAUGAGAUUAGGACUAGGAAUUUGUUUCGAUUUCAGAUUGCUGAGGAUGAGCUUUACAAUGAUCUGUAGCAUGCUUGUGCUGGACCUCUAGUGACGGUUCGGAGAGUCGGAGAGCUCGUAUAUUACUUUCCCCAAGGACAUAUAGAGUAGGUCUAUAAAAGCUCUUUCCUCGAAGGCCGAGAGAGUAAGAAAGUAUAUAGCAGAAAGUGGAAUACAAGUAAAUGAUGUAUUUGUGCACACCAUCUUUGUGAAUGUUGGGCUAGUUGAAUUUGUUGGAUAUUAAGCAUGUAAAAUGUUUUCUUCUAGUUAUGUUUUGUAAAUAAUUGAAGGAGUGUUGUUAAGUUUUUGGUGUUAUUACAUUUGUGAAAUAUUUGGUUAUAGUAAUGUAAUAUUUUUUUGCUUCUA